UGGGGAAUUUUGGACAAUGGGCGCAAGCCUGAUCCAGCAAUGCCGCGUGAGUGAAGAAGGCCUUCGGGUUGUAAAGCUCUUUUGUCAGGGAAGAAAUAGCCUGGGUUAAUACCCUGGGUUGAUGACGGUACCUGAAGAAUAAGCACCGGCUAACUACGUGCCAGCAGCCGCGGUAAUACGUAGGGUGCGAGCGUUAAUCGGAAUUACUGGGCGUAAAGCGUGCGCAGGCGGUUUAGUAAGACAGAGGUGAAAUGCCCGGGCUUAACCUGGGAACUGCCUUUGUGACUGCUAGGCUAGAGUGUGUCAGAGGGGGGUAGAAUUCCACGUGUAGCAGUGAAAUGCGUAGAUAUGUGGAGGAACACCAAUGGCGAAGGCAGCCCCCUGGGUCGAUACUGACGCUCAUGCACGAAAGCGUGGGGAGCAAACAGG
rnacentral:rRNA from 2 species